AGUAACGCGUGGGUAACCUGCCUCAUACAGGGGGAUAACAGUUAGAAAUGGCUGCUAAUACCGCAUAAGCGCACAGUACUGCAUGGUACAGUGUGAAAAACCUUGGUGGUAUGAGAUGGACCCGCGUCUGAUUAGCCAGUUGGCAGGGUAAUGGCCUACCAAAGCGACGAUCAGUAGCCGGCUUGAGAGAGUGACCGGCCACAUUGGGACUGAGACACGGCCCAAACUCCUACGGGAGGCAGCAG
rnacentral:rRNA from 1 species